rnacentral:piRNA from 1 species
UGUGCACUUGCAGGCCCAACACCAUGUG